UUCCNUUUUNNUUUUUUUCUUGGGGGUUGUGGCCUUGNGCCGUGGCUUUCGGAGCUAACGCAUUAAGUAGACCGCCUGGGGAGUACGGUCGCAAGAUUAAAACUCAAAUGAAUUGACGGGGGCCCGCACAAGCGGUGGAGCAUGUGGUUUAAUUCGAUGCAACGCGAAGAACCUUACCUACUCUUGACAUCCAGAGAAGCUUGAAGAGAUUCGAGUGUGCCUUCGGGAACUCUGAGACAGGUGCUGCAUGGCUGUCGUCAGCUCGUGUUGUGAAAUGUUGGGUUAAGUCCCGCAACGAGCGCAACCCUUAUCCUUGUUUGCCAGCACUUCGGGUGGGAACUCCAGGGAGACUGCCGGUGAUAAACCGGAGGAAGGUGGGGACGACGUCAAGUCAUCAUGGCCCUUACGAGUAGGGCUACACACGUGCUACAAUGGUAUAUACAGAGGGCAGCAAGACCGCGAGGUGGAGCGAAUCCCAGAAAGUAUGUCGUAGUCCGGAUCGGAGUCUGCAACUCGACUCCGUGAAGUCGGAAUCGCUAGUAAUCGUGGAUCAGAAUGCCACGGUGAAUACGUUCCCGGGCCUUGUACACACCGCCCGUCACACCAUGGGAGUGGGCUGCACCAGAAGUAGAUAGCUUAACCUUCGGGAGGGCGUUUACCACGGUGUGGUUCAUGACUGGGGUGAAGUCGUAACAAGGUAGCCG
rnacentral:rRNA from 1 species